rnacentral:sRNA from 1 species
GAGUCUAACGUGAAGACAUUUUGCUCCAAGAAUAUCCUAGCCAUCCUUGGCUUCUCCUCUAUCAUAGCUGUGAUAGCUUUGCUUGCUGUGGGGUUGACCCAGAACAAAGCAUUGCCAGAAAACGUUAAGUAUGGGAUUGUGCUGGAUGCAGGUUCUUCUCACACAAGUUUAUACAUCUAUAAGUGGCCAGCAGAAAAGGAGAAUGACACAGGGGUGGUGCAUCAAGUAGAAGAAUGCAGGGUUAAAGGUCCUGGAAUUUCAAAAUAUGUUCAGAAAGUAAAUGAAAUAGGCAUUUACCUGACUGAUUGCAUGGAAAGAGCUAGGGAAGUGAUUCCAAGGUCCCAGCACCAAGAGACACCCGUUUACCUGGGAGCCACGGCAGGCAUGCGGUUGCUCAGGAUGGAAAGUGAAGAGUUGGCAGACAGGGUUCUGGAUGUGGUGGAGAGGAACCUCAGCAACUACCCCUUUGACUUCCAGGGCGCCAGGAUCAUUACUGGCCAAGAGGAAGGUGCCUAUGGCUGGAUUACUAUCAACUAUCUGCUGGGCAAAUUCAGUCAGAAAACAAGGUGGUUCAGCAUAGUUCCAUAUGAAACCAAUAAUCAGGAAACCUUUGGAGCUUUGGACCUUGGGGGAGCCUCUACACAAAUCACUUUUGUACCCCAAAACCAGACUAUCGAGUCCCCAGAUAAUGCUCUGCAAUUUCGCCUCUAUGGCAAGGACUACAAUGUCUACACACAUAGCUUCUUGUGCUAUGGGAAGGAUCAGGCACUCUGGCAGAAACUGGCCAAGGACAUUCAGGCAAGUAUAACUCAAUCCAGACCUGCCCUCUUCAUAUCUGCACCUCCAGCCCCCACAUCCUGUUGUUUUCUCCUUCAAAUUCAGUAGUUUGUCUGAACUUGGUUAUUGUACUUUCCAAACCUUUUUAGGCAGGAUAUUGAACUACAUCUGGUUGACUCCUAUAAAUUGUUUCAGUCAGACAUCCCCUCCCAUGUUUGUUUACUGCGUUAUCUCCACAGACACAACUGAGAUCUUCUCUCAGGAAAUAAUUUCUCACCCUCGUGGGGUUGAUAAUGAAAAUUAUGUGGUAGAAUAUUGUUUGUUGGAGGGGGAAUUGCAAUUUAUAAGCUCUGUUAGACCACUUUUUAAAGCUCCCUUUCCUACAAACUACAAAAAAAACAGAGUUGUUAGAAAUGACCUGGAGAGGAGAAGGAAAAAAAAAACACUUCAGGAAAAACACAAAAUGUAUCAAUUGACACUUCAAAUCUUGUCAUCUCCCCCAGAUGCUUUCUGCAUUUCAAAGACAAGAAAAGUUAAACACACUUUGGGAGGAUGAGGUGGGUGGAUCACUUCAGGUCAGGAGUUGGAGACCAGCCUGGCCAACAUGGUGAAACCCCAUCUCUACUAAAAAUACAAAAAAAAGAAAAAAAAUAUUAGCCAGGCAUGGUGGCACAUACCUGUAAUCCCAGCUACUUGGGAGGCUGAGAAAGGAGAAUCACUUGAACUGGGAGGUGGAGGUUGCAGUGAGCCGAGAUUGUGCCACUGCACUCCAGCCUGGGCCACAGAGCGAGACUCUGUCUCAAAAAAAAAAAAAAAAAAAA